UCCCCAUCGGCCAUCGUCUACUCGUCUCACGCACACUGCACGCACAGGCACACACUCACGCCUUCCCCAAUUUCCCAUCCUCUCAGACCCAGACUCAUGUAGGUUGUAGCCACGCCGUCGACGACCACCGCCGUGGACAGGGAACACGGUCCACCGGAGCGCGCCGCCCGCCAUCUCUCGAAGCAACCGCCGUGGCGACGCCCGCCGGGAUCUCGCCUCGCCCCUGCCCAGCUCCCUCCUGCCGCCCAUCAUCCGCCGGGAUCCAGUGUGCCAUGCGUGCUGCCGGCCAUCCAUUCCUGCGGUUGUUCUCCUUCAACGCCAAGUCUCCAAAUCUGGCGCAUGACCUAGGCCAGCCCCUUCUCCUUUUGUAUUCUGUCGCUGGCGCCCCCAUGACUUAGCACCUUGCCGCACGCACAGUGGCGGAGCCAGGAAAUUUGAAUCAGGGGGGCCGAUUGUAGUCAAAAUAGGUUGGGGAGGGCCAAAGCAUAGAAAAAAUAGACUUUAAGCAUCAAAAAAUUGCUAAUUACGCACUGUUCAUCAGUGAAUUAGCAGCAAACUCCUAAUGUCAGGGGGGGCCAGUCCCCCUGUCUCCGCCACUGCGCACGCACACUUCACAGGUAGUCAUGGGAAAGGAAAAUAAGACUCAGAGAAGAAGAAGAACACUAAGACAAGAUUACGCAAUAAGAUGGAAGAUGAGAACCUGGCUAAUAACUUGUUAGUUCACAUAGAUGGUGGAAUUCUAGAAAACUACAGCCACGACGAAGUCAUUGCAGAUUUUAUAAGCAAGAAGGAUCGGAGAGUUGAUUGUAUGUGAGUAGGUCCAUGUCUAAUGUCUCGACACUUUUGUAUUAGCUAACUCAAUAGUGACUCAUGGUUGAACUGUACUUUGGUUCAUAUAUAUUAUAUAUAUACAUAUCUGCUAGCUCAA